CAGUAGCCGCGGGAAUACGUAGGGUGCGAGCGUUAAUCGGAAUUACUGGGCGUAAAGUGUGCGCAGGCGGUUCGUUAAGACAGAUGUGAAAUCCCCGGGCUUAACCUGGGAACUGCAUUUGUGACUGGCGAGCUAGAGUAUGGCAGAGGGGGGUAGAAUUCCACGUGUAGCAGUGAAAUGCGUAGAGAUGUGGAGGAAUACCGAUGGCGAAGGCAGCCCCCUGGGCCAAUACUGACGCUCAUGCACGAAAGCGUGGGGAGCAAACAGAAUUAGAUACCCCCGUAGUCCCUGUCUCUUAUAC
rnacentral:rRNA from 1 species